rnacentral:rRNA from 1 species
UACAGAGGUCUCAAGCGUUGUUCGGAUUCAUUGGGCGUAAAGGGUGCGUAGGCGGCGCGGUAAGUCGGGUGUGAAAUCUCGGAGCUUAACUCCGAAACUGCAUUCGAUACUGCCGUGCUUGAGUUCGGGAGAGGUGAGUGGAACUGCGAGUGUAGAGGUGAAAUUCGUAGAUAUUCGCAAGAACACCAGUGGCGAAGGCGGCUCACUGGCCCGAUACUGACGCUGAGGCACGAAAGCGUGGGGGGCAAACAGGG